UUAGCUAUUAGAUGAUAUCUAAAUGAGGUGGUAUGUAAAGAAGAAAAAUCAAAGAGUCCGAGAAAAUAAUAUCCAAGCAAAGAAUCUAAUAAUGUAGCUAACCUAUAAGAAUGAAAAUGCAAUGAUACACCAGCCACGUUGGUGUACCCGGAACAUAUAAAAAUCUAUCAAAACGGAGUCCCUAAUUAGUAUAAUGUAAUUGUUCUUUUUUUGGUCGAAAGCAUAAUGUAAUUUGGAAAUAUUUUUGCCUCACCACUUUAACUCAAAG
rnacentral:lncRNA from 1 species